rnacentral:rRNA from 1 species
GUGAGGAAUAUUGGACAAUGGGUGCAAGCCUGAUCCAGCCAUCCCGCGUGAAGGAUUAAGGUCCUAUGGAUUGUAAACUUCUUUUAUACAGGGAUAAACCUCUCCUCGUGAGGAGAGCUGAAGGUACUGUAUGAAUAAGCACCGGCUAACUCCGUGCCAGCAGCCGCGGUAAUACGGAGGGUGCAAGCGUUAUCCGGAUUUAUUGGGUUUAAAGGGUCCGUAGGCGGGCCGAUAAGUCAGUGGUGAAAUCUCGCAGCUUAACUGUGAAACUGCCAUUGAUACUGUUGGUCUUGAGUAAAUUUGAAGUGGCUGGAAUAAGUAGUGUAGCGGUGAAAUGCAUAGAUAUUACUUAGAACACCAAUUGCGAAGGCAGGUCACUAAGAUUUAACUGACGCUGAUGGACGAAAGCGUGGGUAGCGAACAGGAUUAGAAACCCUAGUAGUCC